rnacentral:rRNA from 1 species
AUAUCAGUCAUGCAUAGCAUAUCAAUAAGCGGAGGAAAAGAAACUAACAAGGAUUCCCUUAGUAACGGCGAGUGAAGCGGGAAGAGCUCAAAUUUGAAAUCUUCAAGGUUUUACCUUGACGAAUUGUAGUUUAAAGAAGUGUUUUCUGUUGAAGUUUUGGUAAAAGUUCUUUGGAAUAGGACAUCAUAGAGGGUGAGAAUCCCGUAUUUGACCAUUACUUUCAGCUUUGUGAUACACUUUCAAAGAGUCGAAUUGUUUGGGAAUGCAGUCCAAAAUGGGUGGUAAAUUUCAUCUAAAGCUAAAUAUUGGCGAGAGACCGAUAGCGAACAAGUACCGUGAGGGAAAGAUGAAAAGAACUUUGAAAAGAGAGUUAAACAGUACGUGAAAUUGUCAAAAGGGAAGCGUUUGACACCAGUGUUGUUUUCUCGAAAAUCAAUUAAAAAGAGUUGGAUUUUGUGUUGUAUUGACUUUAUCGGCUUUCUUCACUCUUUUCCAGCUUUUUUUAAUGCACUAUUUUUCGUUUAACAAGUCAACAUCAGUUUCUUUUGUUGUAAAAAGGUCAUUGGAAGGUGGCUUUCUCUUCGGAGAAAGUGUUUAUAGCCUUUGACUCAUGCAAUCGGAGAGACUGAGGUCUGCAGCGUAGAUCCUUCGGGGUUAGAUACAUUUGUGCUAAGUUAUAGCUUUUCAUAGACAACUUGUUGACUAUGUUUAGUCUUGUAGCUUACUCGCUUAUGCUAUUUUACCUACGCUUAGGAUGUUGAACUCUAUCACACACAG